GACGAACGCUGGCGGCGUGCUUAACACAUGCAAGUCGAACGGAAAGGCCUGCUUUCCCUUGUGGAUUGCGGGUACUCGAGUGGCGAACGGGUGAGUAACACGUGAGUGAUCUGCCCCCAACUUGGGUAUAAGCCUGGGAAACUGGGUCUAAUUCCCGAUAGGACUGCAGGGUGGUGCCUGUGGUGGAAAACGAUUUUCUAGUGGUUGGGGAUGAGCUCGCGGCCUAUCAGCUUGUUGGUGGGGUAAUGGCCUACCAAGGCGGCGACGGGUAGCCGGCCUGAGAGGGUGGACGGCCACAUUGGGACUGAGAUACGGGCCAGACUCCUACGGGAGGCAGCAGUGGGGAAUAUUGCGCAAUGGGCGGAAGCAUGAUGCAGCGACGCCGCGUGGGGGAGGACGGCCUUCGGGUUGUAAACUCCUUUCGACCGCGAGGAAGCCACCUGGUUGGAAGGGUGGUGACGGUAGUGGUAGAAGAAGCACCGGCUAACUACGU
rnacentral:rRNA from 1 species